GUUUUAUUUUAAUUAAUUAUUUUAUGUAUUUUAGGGGCAUCAUGGUCAUUUCACAAUGAAAAAGAAAUCAUAUAGCAAAACGGACAACAAUUCUGAUCUCAGGACAGUCGAAAACCUUAGGAGAAGCAUAAAAUGAUAAACGGCACUGUUCACAUAUACGAUAGUGUUCAUGGUACUGCUCACGACACUGUUCACAUAUACGAACCAAUGACGUGGCAUUGACCGAUGAUGUGUCACGAUCCUAUUGGACUAAAAUAUUGAGGUGGAGUUGACCGGUGACGUGGCAGUAUGUUAAUGGACCGGAAAAAUGCACGUACGGUACAUGCACAUACACAGAAUGACAGCCCUGAUGAUGUGUUCUAUCCAAUCAGAACUUGCCAUGUGUCGCAAUCCUAAGUGUCCAAAUUAUUUUAAUCUGAUGGCCAUGAUUUACUCAUUGUAUCUAUAAAUAGGGG
rnacentral:lncRNA from 1 species